GGGGCUAUGGUCUAGUGGUAUGAUUCUCGCUUAGGGUGCGAGCGGUCCCGGGUUCGAUUCUCGGUAGCCCCC
rnacentral:tRNA from 1 species